AGAAAAAUAUAUGUAUGUAUGUUGUGUUAGUGGUAUGUGCAUACAUAUGUAUGUAUGUAUUUAGUUGGUUUAUAACUAUUUUUUACAUCGAAAUCAAAGCAUACUCA